AUAUGACAUAAAUCCGUAAAUAAGUCAACACAUGCUGUCAAGGAGUUUUUAGGGCUUGGUCUUGGAACACCUGUUGCUUACUUUACUCAAUGAAGUGCUCCUCAUUUCAUUCAUUAUGUUGUGACUGUCCAAAACUUGUUCGACACAACUUUUAAAGGAAAUGUAAAAAAUCCACAAUGCUACAAUUUCUAGAAAACUAUGUUUCUAAAUAUUAGAGGGACAAAUGAGGCAAAAUCAUAGAUGCUGUGCACAAUGCCCAUUAAACAAAUAUAUUGUCAAUAAGUGUUCUUGAGUAAAAUGUGUUUAAAAUAUCAAGAUGAAACUUAACUGGAUGCAGGGUAACCAAGAACAGAAUUUAAUUUCAAUUCCAUGCGCUGAAAUCUUGACACAACCCGUAAGGACCUGUUUUAAAAUGGGCCUGGGCCGGCCUGGGAGAGGACAGGGCUGGCCAUUUGGGCCACAAUGUGCGCCCGGCAUGUGAGUCCGGGAGGAAGACUCCCAAUGAGAGUCUUCUUCCUCCCCAAGUCCGGCAAGGAACCCGGGACUCGAAAGCUGUUGGACUCCGAUGAGGACCUAGGGAUUUCAUCUACAAAAGGGCUUCUUCUCCUCCGUUGAACCAUCGCAAAUCCCUCAAAACAAGCCGCCGAUCCCAAAUUUUUUUUAUUCCGAGUUUUCUCCUCUGAUUUUCACCAGAAAGAGUCGUCGGAUCUUCGUCGGAUUGAGUUGACCCGGCUAGGUGGUAGUAAGGACUCGACAGAUCUUGUGAUGGACCCCUGGUGGUCGCUGUUUGAUUUUCUUUUGAUCAUUGAGUUCGAACCUUUAGAGGGAGAGUCAUCUGCGCCAAUUGAUUGGGGUGCUACUCUGCACCUCACUCAUAGAUCGUUGUAUUUAGUCGAUCAUCGGUAGAGAGUCGCAGGCUGCAUAGUUUCUGAUGGGUUGGACAUAGAGUCCGAGUAUUAAAGUUAUGAGUUAGUUUGUAUUCUGAUACCGAGAAAUAUUUGAAGAUUUUGUAACUGAAGCGGUUGGAUUAUUUGAAUAUGAUGGAUUUAUUUAUUUGGAUUA